rnacentral:rRNA from 1 species
AACCUGCGGAGGGAUCAUUACCGAGUUAUACAACUCCCAAACCCACUGUGAACCUUACCUCAGUUGCCUCGGCGGGAACGCCCCGGCCGCCUGCCCCCGCGCCGGCGCCGGACCCAGGCGCCCGCCGCAGGGACCCCAAACUCUCUUGCAUUACGCCCAGCGGGCGGAAUUUCUUCUCUGAGUUGCACAAGCAAAAACAAAUGAAUCAAAACUUUCAACAACGGAUCUCUUGGUUCUGGCAUCGAUGAAGAACGCAGCGAAAUGCGAUAAGUAAUGUGAAUUGCAGAAUUCAGUGAAUCAUCGAAUCUUUGAACGCACAUUGCGCCCGCCAGCAUUCUGGCGGGCAUGCCUGUUCGAGCGUCAUUUCAACCCUCGAGCCCCCCCGGGGGCCUCGGUGUUGGGGGACGGCACACCAGCCGCCCCCGAAAUGCAGUGGCGACCCCGCCGCAGCCUCCCCUGCGUAGUAGCACACACCUCGCACCGGAGCGCGGAGGCGGUCACGCCGUAAAACGCCCAACUUUCUUAGAGUUGACCUCGGAUCAGGUAGGAAUACCCGCUGAACUUAAGCAUAUCAAUAAGGCGGGAGGA